AUUGAACGCUGGCGGCAUGCCUUACACAUGCAAGUCGAACGGCAGCACGGGGCAACCUGGUGGCGAGUGGCGAACGGGUGAGUAAUGCAUCGGAACGUACCUUUCAGUGGGGGAUAACGUAGCGAAAGUUACGCUAAUACCGCAUAUUCUGUGAGCAGGAAAGGAGGGGAUCGCAAGACCUUGCGCUGAUUGAGCGGCCGAUGUCAGAUUAGCUAGUUGGUGAGGUAAAGGCUCACCAAGGCGGCGAUCUGUAGCGGGUCUGAGAGGAUGAUCCGCCACACUGGAACUGAGACACGGUCCAGACUCCUACGGGAGGCAGCAGUGGGGAAGUUUGGACAAUGGGGGCAACCCUGAUCCAGCCAUGCCGCGUGAGUGAAGAAGGCCUUCGGGUUGUAAAGCUCUUUCGGCCGGGAAGAAAUCGCACGGGCUAAUACCCUGUGUGGAUGACGGUACCGGAAUAAGAAGCACCGGCUAACUACGUGCCAGCCGCCGCGGUAAGAC
rnacentral:rRNA from 1 species